UACGUAGGGAGCGAGCGUUGUCCGGAUUCAUUGGGCGUAAAGAGCUCGUAGGCGGCUUGGCAAGUCGGGUGUGAAAACUCCCAGCUCAACCUGGAGACGCCACCCGAUACUGCCAUGGCUAGAGUCCGGUAGGGGACCACGGAAUUCCUGGUGUAGCGGUGAAAAUGCGCAGAUAUCAGGAAGAACCACCCGUGGCUAAGGCGGCUCUCUAGUACGGUACUGACGCUGAGACGCGAAAGCGUGGGGAGCGAACAGG
rnacentral:rRNA from 1 species